UACGAAGGGGGCUAGCGUUGCUCGGAAUCACUGGGCGUAAAGGGCUCGUAGGCGGCCAACUAAGUCAGACGUGAAAUCCCUCGGCUUAACCGGGGAACUGCAUCUGAUACUGGAUGGCUUGAGUUCGGGAGAGGGAUGCGGAAUUCCGGGUGUAGCGGUGAAAUGCGUAGAUAUCUGGAGGAACACCGGUGGCGAAGGCGGCAUCCUGGACCGACACUGACGCUGAGGAGCGAAAGCCAGGGGAGCAAACGGG
rnacentral:rRNA from 1 species